rnacentral:rRNA from 1 species
AGUGAACGCUGGCGGUAGGCCUAACACAUGCAAGUCGAACGGCAGCACAGUAAGAGCUUGCUCUUACGGGUGGCGAGUGGCGGACGGGCGAGGAAUACAUCGGAAUCUACUUUUUCGUGGGGGAUAACGUAGGGAAACUUACGCUAAUACCGCAUACGACCUACGGGUGAAAGCAGGGGAUCUUCGGACCUUGCGCGAUUGAAUGAGCCGAUGUCGGAUUAGCUAGUUGGCGGGGUAAAGGCCCACCAAGGCGACGAUCCGUAGCUGGUCUGAGAGGAUGAUCAGCCACACUGGAACUGAGACACGGUCCAGACUCCUACGGGAGGCAGCAGUGGGGAAUAUUGGACAAUGGGCGCAAGCCUGAUCCAGCCAUACCGCGUGGAUGAAGAAGGCCUUCGGGUUGUAAAGCCCUUUUGUUGGGAAAGAAAAGCAGCAGGUUAAUACCCCGCUGUUCUGACGGUACCCAAAGAAUAAGCACCGGCUAACUUCGUG